AGACUAUGGGUUUGUCUUAGGCCUUUAUUUUAAGCUGCUAUAACAGAAUACCCAAGACUGAGUGUUUUAUAAAGAAUAGAAAUUUACUUCUUACUGUUCUAGAGGUGGGAAAGUCCUAGGUCAGGCAGCUCACAUCUGGUGAGGGGUUGUGUCAACUUUCCCAUUUCUGGAACAAAUGCUUGAGCCAACGGGGAUGGAGGUUUAUCUAUGGCUCAUGGUUUCAAAGGCUCAGACCAUGGUCAACUGGAUCUGCACAGAAACAUCAGGAUGGAAGUGCAUGGUGGAGCAAAGCUACUCACUGCAUGGUGGCUAGGAGCAGAAGAGAGGGGGAAGAAUACAAAUACAAAUGAGAGACAUGCCCUUCAAUCCUGUUCCCCUCUGGAUCCUUCCAGAAGAACCACUUCACUGUGACGAGUGUGGGUUGGAGCAGAGCUUAGAAGGAAGGGAGAUGCCAUCCUCACCAGGUAAACACUGGUCCUGCAUCUGCAGACACCACAGGAACUUCUGGCCAGAACACUACUUCCAAAGCCCAGGGCAAAUCCAAACACUGCUCCCACUGUGGGCAUCUGCGCCAAGACCUGCAGUGUCCUCUACCUACACGCUUGCCUCCUAGGCUUU
rnacentral:lncRNA from 1 species